CGGAAGGUCCGGGUGUUAUCCGGAUUUAUUGGGUUUAAAGGGGAGCGUAGGCCGGAGAUUAAGCGUGUUGUGAAAUGUAGACGCUCAACGUCUGCACUGCAGCGCGAACUGGUUUCCUUGAGUACGCACAAAGUGGGCGGAAUUCGUGGUGUAGCGGUGAAAUGCUUAGAUAUCACGAAGAACUCCGAUUGCGAAGGCAGCUCACUGGAGCGCAACUGACGCUGAAGCUCGAAAGUGCGGGUAUCGAACAGGAUU
rnacentral:rRNA from 1 species